rnacentral:tRNA from 1 species
GCCAGCUUAGCUCAGAGGCAGAGCAUCCGCCUUGUAAGCGGACGGUCGGGAGUUCGACUCUCCCAGCUGGCU